ACGUAGGGGGCGAGCGUUGUUCGGAAUUACUGGGCGUAAAGGGCGUGUAGGCGGUGCGGUAAGUCGGGCGUGAAAUCCCCGGGCUCAACCCGGGGCGGUCGUUCGAAACUGCCGUGCUAGAGUGCAGGAGAGGGAAGUGGAAUUCCCGGUGUAGCGGUGAAAUGCGUAGAUAUCAGGAAGAACACCCGUGGCUAAGGCGGCUCUCUAGUACGGUACUGACGCUGAGACGCGAAAGCGUGGGGAGCGAACAGGA
rnacentral:rRNA from 1 species